rnacentral:lncRNA from 1 species
AUGUGCGUCAUAACCCUCACGUCAUUUGCUCGAGUCUUUAGAGAUAACUCAGCAACAUCCUCAUCCAAAAAAGACAAGCUUCCACUUUUUCCAGGAUGUGAGAUCAUUAUAAGUUACUGGCAAUAUAUGGUACAUGUCACGCACAAUGAGCCUAGGCCAGUGGAUCUCAGCCAUUUGACCCCACUGUCCACAACAAUAUUCAAAUGCCCCAUGACUUUUCCAGAUGUUCAUGAUUUCCUGGAUGAGAAUUUAAGAAUAAGGAUUACAAAAAGAAAUGGCUGGUGGCUCAAACACUGAUCCCCGACCAGAGAGCAGAGUCAAAAACAAAGAGACUUUGGCCUCAGCAUGUGACGGUCACAAAGGGAAACAUUAGGUCUGCCAGGAGACAAUGACCUUUGAUUCCGCUGAUUUCCCUUGAACCUUCAAUGACCAGGAAGAGCAAAGGCUCCCUAGGCAGGCAGGUGCAAACAAGGAUAUGGGGUGAGAAGCGCAAACUGCCAUCUCCCCUUUGGACUGAAAUACAAAGGUUGCUGGUCUUGCCAAAGAGGCCACCAUUGAGAGGAAAAUUACUGUUUAACACUAUAUUGACACAGCCACUGAAAAUAGGCAUUGUGAAGCGAGAGCACGAUGAACACUGACUACAAAGCUGCAUAAAAAUAUAAAUAUGACUGUUGUAGCUGACAAAAUCGAACAAUUUAAUAUCAUAAACAUAGUACAAAAUUGCUACUUGAUAACUUGUGUUAAUUGAUGCCCAAAACCAAGCUGCGAGUCUAGGGUUUUGUUGAACUGCUGAUGAUGAGGUUUUGUCACUUAAUCUUCAUAUGACAAUGUACAUUUCCUCAAGCAAUAUGUUCAAAGGUCUUGGCGCAUAACUGUAAAAACAAUUCAGUGAAGCUGUCAAAAAGUUAUUCAGCAGCCUGUUAGUGUCUGUCACUGAUGUUUUGUCACGCUAAGCUUUUUUAAAGAACUAGAACUGGGUCAAACCAAGACUAAAGUUUUGAGGGUGCAUAGGGGAAACUAGGGCUAGUGGUCACAAUGUCAGCAACUACAAAGAUUUAAGUCCAAAUACACAAAUAUUCUCUGGGGGUUUUUUCUAGCAGUGGUUUUAUAUGUUGGUUUCAGACAAAAUUUGGCCUUCCUGUAGCUCAAAUAAUAAAGCAUGAUGCUAGCAAAACAUGGGUUUGAUUCCCAGGAAAUGCAAGAUCUGAUAAAAUGUAUAUCUUGAAUGCAAUGGAAGUUGCUUUAGAUAAAAGCAUGUGCCAAAUACGUCAAUGUCUUUUUUUCCCAAUAUGGAAAAAAAAUCCAAAUAUGGUCAGAUUUUAGAAUUAGUUUUUGAGAAAACAAGUGAAGGCAAUAAAACAAUUAUGUCUGCCAGAACAGCCAGAAUAAUGAUGUGAUCUUUGUGUAUUACAUUUUUGCAGUUUUGAGAAAAAAAAAAUGCAUUUCAUAAUUAUUUUACAGCUUCAAUCAUUGCCGAAAAGUCUAUUUUGAAUAGCAUUUUCCACUGUGACAACUUACCCUAUGUAGUUUUACAACAUGCCUGGCUAUUGUUGAACAUGUUUUAUGGUCAAUAAUGUAAAUGUUCAAUAGCUUCAUUGUGUCCAAGACUUUUGGUUUGUGCCCAUAUUGUGGUUACUUUUAAAACUAAACCAAGCCUGAGAAAUAUUCAGAGAAGUAAAAAAUGUGACAACUCUUUACUAUAUCUUCUUGUUCACUUAUAAAGUGCUAGGAUGUUGCAUUUACAACUAAUUUGGCAAAGCAUUCAGAUUGCUCAGAGGGGUUAAUUGCUUGUUUUAGGCUGUGGUUGGCGUCCAUAUAUACUGGAGUGUUUCCUGUCCAUUAAAUUGUCAAUUAUUUGUUUUUUGUUUAGAGAAUGUCAAUAUCCUUACUAGUUGGUUAAUGGGACAUAAUACUUAGACAGUGGCUUUUAGUUGGUUUUGCCAUCUUCUGAUGCAUUGUGGCUUAUGGAUGCAUGCUUGUUUGAGGUGAGACACCCUGUGGAUUUAGGCCUUGUAUCGUAAUGUAACCCUCGUUAUUUCCCUGAGCGAUGCAGAUCAAUAACUGCUGUUUAUGCAUGCGGCCCACAUAUACAGCACUACAUUUCAGAGAAAGUAAGGUUGCUAUUAUGGCUGCUUAAGAUCUGGCACGGUUUCAGCAUCCAAAGAAGAAGCAGUGAAAAUAAAAGACAAACGUCCUACCAUUGAGGUCUCAGUGGAUAGGGAGCAUUAUGUUGUUUGUUCUAUGUGAAAAAGAGAACUUAUCAAAUCAUAUCUCAAAUAAAACAUUUAUUAUUCAUAACAGAGAACAAUAAUCAGAUGUUUACAAGACAUCGCAGAUGCCGGCUAGAUGCGGAGGAGCAAUGACAGACAAUGAUCUCAAGACAGAAACUGAGAGGGAAGUGGAGGAGAAAGAGAUGGAGAAAAAAGGAAAUAACCCCAUGAGUGUAUUAUGUGCAGGGUUGUGACACUGUGGCUUUAUCCACUUGUGUGGCAGAACGGAGAGCGGGGGCGGAAGACUUGGCGUUUUACAGAGGAAAGGCCUCACUGUGUGCACAUUGUGCAGCCAUGUGAGGCAUCACCACAGUACACAUCUUACCCAUGUACAUUCUCCCAAUUUUUCCCAAAGGGACUUCCAAUUCUCAUUGGCCGUGUUCCCUUUUUAUCCAAAUGCUUAAGCAUGGAAAAUCACUGACCUAGCUUUGGGGAAUCUAAAGGGUUAGGGAUGUAUGAGCUGUGCAUAACCUGCUUCACAGUUGGGAUGUAUGAGCUGUGCAUAACCUGCUUCACAGUUUAUCCAAUGCACAGAACAGUCAAACUAUGAAAUCUGAAAUGCAUUUUUAAAAACGUUGAUGUUGAAUAUAUUAAUCAGUGUUCCAUUCCACUCUGAAAAGAUGCUUUGACUCCCUCUAGCAAUAAAAUGUCAUUUGAGUAAAUCUCCCUUGAAUCUCAGUGGCACAAAUGGUUAAUAUUUCUCCUUUGUCCCGAGGAAGACAUGUAUAAUCCUACAUUUAAAUGGGGUAACCCUAUCAAAAGCUGGACUUUUCUGUGACAAAUUGCUUAUGUUAAUCUCUACAUGAGCAUACCUCUUAUCAAUGUGCUGAGGUCCCACAUUUAUUUUGCCUUGGGCGACUGUCUCCUCCAUGUGAAGGAUCUCACAUUAUAAUCCACAGAUCAGGUUGAAUGGGGCAAGUAUCUCAUUUCUCAUUGUGCGUUCCUUCCAUUUAGGGUACAUGCUAAAGGAAAGCCGACCGAAUGAGGAAUGGAGUUGAAUAGGACCGCAGGGUGAGGCGCUCAGAGCCAGGGCUUCUAAGUCAUCAGGUGGAGGGUCAUCUUAGACCUUUGUGUGAUUUAACACUGGGUAAAUGUCACCUGCGAACAUCCCAGAUCUAGCUAUUCAGGGCUGGGAGUGAAAAGGGCUUUGCAGUAUUGAGGCUAGAAUGUCUGAUAAUUAUUACCCAAUUAGGCCUGUUAGAUGGUUAAUAUGUCAUAUAUCGGUAAAUAUAAUCAAAUUACUUAAAUGGUAUGCAUAAAAAAUUACAUUAUUGUGUCAGAAAAAGAAAACAAUAUAUUGUUUGUUUUAUUUCCACAAUUGACAGCAAUUGUUUUUUGUAGUAUGCUGCAUUCAAGUCAUCCUGGGAAGUUCAUAUUUAGGGAAUUGACGGCAUCAGAUGUGUUCAAGUAACUUUGGUCAGAGCAAAACGGCAGUGUACCGUUACCCUACUUCUAUGAAAUGAUGAAUAAAGGAUGUGCAUCAAAUGUGUUUUUGCUUAUGUUUUUAUUCAAA